rnacentral:rRNA from 1 species
GUCGAGGGGUAACAGGGAUUGCUUGCAAUCCGCUGACGACCGGCGCACGGGUGAGUAACGCGUAUGCAACCUACCUUUUACUGGGGGAUAGUCAAGAGAAAUUUUGAAUAAUACCCCAUAUGAUCUGAUUCACUCCUGUGAAACAGAAGAAAAUUCCGAUGGUAAAAGAUGGGCAUGCGUCCUAUUAGUUUGUUGGUGAGGUAACGGCUCACCAAGACUUCGAUAGGUAGGGGUCCUGAGAGGGAGAUCCCCCACACUGGUACUGAGACACGGACCAGACUCCUACGGGAGGCAGCAGUGAGGAAUAUUGGACAAUGGAGGCAACUCUGAUCCAGCCAUGCCGCGUGCAGGAAGACGGCCCUAUGGGUUGUAAACUGCUUUUAUACAGAAAGAAACGUUAGUACGUGUACUAGCCUGACGGUACUGUAAGAAUAAGGAUCG